ACAAUUUUUAAACUACCUAACCUGCAUUUUUCAAUGAGUUUUGCUUCAUACAUUUUGAUGCUAUUUAUUUCAAUGUUUAAAAAGUUAUUAAGAGUUACAGUCUAUUAUAUACUGUAUUUUCAGUAAUUCUCCUUGUUUAGGGUAUUUAAUUCAUUUUACUUUAAUUUCAUGUUUGUUUGGUAAUAAUAAUAAUAAUGUAUUCUGUGUUUUUUUAUUAGUCUGGUUUUCCCCCAUCCUUCCUUUAUAUCAAUGUUUUCUGAAAUGUUUUUAGGCAUAUCAGUUUUUAUUUUGAUUUAGUAUAAGCAUUUAAAAUGGUAUUUAAUCAUUUAUCCUAUUUUAAUUAUUAAUUAUUAUUUUCACAAAAUGACUGCGGUCUUACAUCUGUUUUUUUUUUGUUUUCUGUUUUUUAAAAAAAUUUGUCCUUGCUUUCAUCUUCCCUUUAAAACAAUUUAGCUAUACCAUGAGAUUUUGUCUUUGAUCUUCUCACCUAGUAAUCUGAAAGGUGUAUACUUUGGUUUUAGCUCAAUUCAUAGUUAUAUUUAUAAUUGUAAGUAAUGUUCCCACAUUUACAUUUCAUAGGAUAGCAUCUUCAGCAACAGAAUGCUAUCUACUAGGUCUCUUCUGUGACAAAGUAGGGCAAUCAUGUAAUUUCAUUUUCAUCCAUUUUUACUCUUUUACUCUAUUUUUUUGUUUGCUUAUGUAACCUGGAAAGUUUGUACCUAUUUAUUAUAGUUAAUUUAUUGUUAUUUUCACAUUAUUUAUGUUAAUUUUUUUCAAGAGACUGUUUUGUAACAGUCUCACUUUGUAACUAUCAUUAUUGAGCCUAAUUCCUAAGUUGCAUAGAUUAGUAUUCAUUGCCAUCCUUCUUCAUAUCAAAUUUUCCUGUUUUUGAUCAUUGAAUUUUGCUGUCUCUCUAUUUUGGAUUAAGUAUAUCUUCAGGUAGGUUUUUAAGGAAAUGUUAUAUGAGUAAUAUAGCUCCAGAGACUUUAUUAAUAUGUUAAAUUUCAGCUGACUGUGAUAAACAACAACAAAACCCUACAAAAUACCAGUAAUUUAAAUAAGACUGAAAGUUAAAAAAAUUUUCUGUAAAUCAUAACAGGCAUAUGAUAGAGCAUAAGAUGAACUAAAAUAUUUUAAGAAUUUCCUGCAGCCAUGCUUGUCACAUAUAAUCUCAUUUAAUCUUCACAAAUGUCCCUGAUAUGGGGAUUAAUGUUCUGUAUUCUAGAGACAGGAAACUGCAGCUCAAAGGGCAAAAGUACCUAGUCCAAAGUGACAGAUGCGAGUUGAAGCCAGUGUUAUCUAUCUCCCAUGUUAUCUUCACUGCAGUUGUACUGCCCCUGAAGAUAUAAGGGGCAAAUAGAAGUAAGGAUAAAGUAUUCCAGGGACAGAGCUGAGCCAUUGAUGAAUUCCUUCUGGGAUUAAAGGGUGGAAACUCCGAGAAGCAUCAGAGAGCAGGUAAUGUUUGAGAGAAAUCUUAAAUGAUUAAUUGAAGUUUUCCAGGUGAGCAAGGAAGGAGAACGCAUUCCAGGCUAAGAAGACAACAUGAGCAAUAAGCUUUUGUUCCUUAAAGGGAUUAAUCAAAACUUUCUAUUAUUUCAUUUCUAGGCACAAAACCGGUGCUUAAUAGAGGCUUUAUUGGUUUAAUUUAUUUAGUCAUUCUCUUUGUUCCAUGUAGCAGAUAUGCCAUUUGCCACUCUAAUAUUGUCCUACCCUUUCUCCUAGUAAGAAAACUCUAAUUUACUGGAGGCAGCAAUGGGCCCAGCUAAAAAGAUGAUGUUUCCUAGCCUCCCCUGCAGCUUGAAGAUGUAGACAGAAAUUGUUGGGAAGUCUUCUAGGAAAGCCCAUAAGAGAAGGACAGACAGCUGAUCUAUCCCUUUUUGCCCUUCACCCUCAUGUUCUGAUUCCUGCUUAGAAUCACUUGUGUCUUAGACUGUGGGCCAUCCGUGAGAAUGGAAACCACAUGAUAGUGACAGUAAAAUGGAAAGGCAGAAGGAAGCUGGGUCCAUGAUGACAAUGUGAGGUCACAUACGAAUCCUGAAUGCCUAUUUAAAGAUUUUUUUAAUGUGAAAAAUAAAUUUCUGUCUUCUUUAGGCCACUGCUAUUUCUGUGCUCUGCUACUAGCCGCAGAAUGCAAUUCCUAACUGAUAUACACCACAUUUACCCUAUGCUCCAGAAAUCUACAUGCAGAUGACUGGGGGCAACUACAAAUACUUAUGGCUAGAAAUUACUAUUUGGAAAAUGCAUAGAAAUAACUGAGAGAAUUUUCCCGCAUGGACCUCAUUUCCAAGGUGCAUCUCAAAGACAGUCUUAUACCAGCCAUGCAGCAUGGAGGAAUUCCAGAAGCCUUUCAGGAAGAAAGAGUGGCUGCUAUUGCUGCUGACACUGCUGCAGUUUAGUGGAAACUAAAAGGCUGGAAUGAUGACCUUUCAAGAAGAACAAAUAUUAUUAAAUAAUGGAUUUUUGUCCCACCUCCUGCAACAGUCAAGAGCAAAAGGAUGAAAAGGGAAUCCUAUUCUUCUAUUAAUAACUCCUCAGUCAGUCUCAUGCUGACAAAGCAGAAAGCAGCUGUAAAAUUAGCAAUUUUGCCUGAAAAUUAGCCCCUUGCAAAGCCAUAAAAAGAGAAAAGGAAUUAAGAAGAAUUCUUUUAAUGCAGUCAAGGAUGGAAAAACCAAGAGUGAUAGAGCAUAAAUGCCCAGAAAACUGAUACUUAUUUUAAGGACGAUAUUACCCAGGUUUUAAAGAGCUGCUUAUAGCUGUGUAUGAGGAAAGUGUUAAUUUAUAGCCCUUGGACCAGUGGCUUUUCUUAAUGGCUCCUUGGAGCGAAUCUAUCAGAUAACUUGGAAGAGCACAAGGUUUAGGUUGAUGUUUAUAAAUAUUACUCCAUUCACCCCUAUCUGAGAAAUUCCUAUUCCAUUUCAGAAAGGCAAUGCAGUAAAUGAAAAGAGAUUAAACUUUAGAGGCAAACAGACAGGUUUGAACCCUGGCUCCGCUCCUUCACUAGCCCUGGGAAAGUCUGGGCACCACUCUGGGCCUCUAUUUUGUCUUCUAUCAAAACAGAGGGUAAUUAUGCUUCAGUGUGUUAGUAUCAUUAAAUUUAGUAACAUGCAUAGAACUUGGUCCCUAGUAGGUUCUUAGUGAAUGUUAGUCCUUUUCUACUCUCCCUUCCUCAUCUGAUAGCCAGGAACACUAAACUUUCUUGCAAACCUAUGCAAAGCAAUUAUAUUUAGCUCUGUGAAAUUCUUCCCAUAAGAAGAUGAAUCCCUACAGAGAAAAUGAGCGCAUUUCCAUAAUUUACAAAUGGUCUCAGGUAUUAGGCUCCCAUUUACAGUUUUGUAUAAAUGAUAAGUCAAUAUUCAAUAGUGGAAAUAAUCCAAAAAAAUAAACUGAUACUCCCUUAACAAUAAAAAGAAAGAGCUCUCUAUUUCCAGCAAGGAACAUACACAAGAGCAGGAAUUUUAAAUUUAUACAGUUUGCUUCAUUUGCAGCUUUGGUGGUUUCCACAUUCAUAGUCAUUUAAUACUCCUUACGUUCCAAGAGGAAGUGAGGAACUUGGGGCUCUGUUGAAGGCUUGGCAAGUCUCAAUCAUUCCUUUCUUAGUUCAAGAGGGUAUUUUAUACCUGAAACACACAUUUUCCUUUCCAGGUCUAAAAAAUUGCAAGAUAUAGACAAAGCAGUUAAAGCCAUAAUGCACAUGGAGUACAAACACUGUUUGAAGAUGAAUAAAUCAGUUAGAAAUACCUGAACAGCAUUAAAAAAAAACUUUUUCUUAUUGAUGGCUGUAGAUCACAAGAUUGGAUACAUUUAUAGAAAUCUAACUGUGCUAGAAACACUAGGCAGAGUUACCUCUCCAAAUGUAGUAAUAUAGCCCCAGAAUAAUUCUCCUUCAAGUUUUCAGAUCUCAAGUUCAUAGGAUCUGGUUUAGGUGGGUCCUUAGAAAUGAUUCAAAUCCCCUAAUAACAUAACCAUAUAAUAGUCUUGCCACUUGUGCUUGCACAUCUCCAGCAACAGAGAAGAGCAUUCUUCCCAGGGCAGUUGAGUUGAAAUUAAGUCAAUACAUAUGCAUUGAGCUCCUCUAAUAUGAUAGUCAAUUGUUUGUACAGAGGUAUGUAUUAGCUUCCUGUGGCUGCCAUAACAGAGUACCACAAAUCAGGUGGCUUAAAACAACAGAAAUUUAUUGUCUCACUGUUCUAGAGGCUAGAAAUGUGAAAUAAUGGUGUCUGUAGGGCUAUGAUCCCUCUGAAACCUAUAGGGGAGAACCCUGCCUUACAUCUUCCAGCUUGUGUUGUUUGCUGACCAUCCUUGGCAUUCCUUGGCUUGUAGAUACAUUACUCCAAUCUCUGCCUCCUUCAUCACAUGGUCAUCUUCUUCCUGCGUGUCUCUCUUUUUCUCUUAAGGACACCAGUCAUAGUGGAUUAUCUCAUCUUAACUAUUAGAUCUGCAAUGAUCCUAUUUACAAAUAAGGCCCCAUUCUGAGGUACUAGGGGUCAGGACUUCAUUAUAUAUUUUGGGGGUAUGUAAUUUAACUGAUAACAGGAAUUAAAGAUGGUUAAGAAUUGGUCUCUGCUUUGGAUAGUUCCUAGUCCCAUGACUUCCCAUAGCAGGCAUAGAAAGUAGACAAACUUGGUUUUCUAGCCCAGCUAAACCUCCUAGUGGCCAAAUGACCUUAGUUAAGUUAAUUAAGCUGUGGUUUCAUCUUCUGAAAAUGGAAUAAAAAUUGAGAAAAUUGAAUAGAUCAGUGACUGGAGAGUGUAUAUCAAGAUGAUUAGCACAGGAUAAGCACUGAAUAAAUGUUAUCUUUCCCUUUCCCAAUACCAGGACUUUAUUGUAUGAUCAAAUUAUUCAUUCAUAUAAUCAUAUAUUCAAUUAUUUCUGCAAAGAUUUCUCAAGCAUCUAAUACACGGCAAGCACCAAGGUAAUAUAUUAGAGAAAAAGACAAGACAUGAUCCCUUCCCUCAUGGAGGCUAUUAUCCUGCUCUGUGCUGGAUUUUAAUUAAAGAGUUUAUUUAGCAAAAUGCCAAAAGGCCUUCAAAAUAAGAGGAAUGCUCAGUAGUGCACAGUCUGACUAUUGAAGAGUGAUAAAGGGAAAAACAUCUAACAUUUAUUGAGUGCUUAGCAUAUAACAGAUACUGUGCUAGAUAAGUUAUCUAUCAUCUCACUGAAUCUUGAAACAACCUGAGGAAGUAGUUGUUUAAUUUAAUAGGCUAGAGUUCAGAGAAGUGAUGAAACCUACCCAAGAACACUCAGCUGGUAAUUUCUAGAACCUCUUUCUCCUCUGCCACAGUUAGGAGUCUAUUUACUAUUGGUCAAGAAUUUGGUCAUCAGAUUGAAGAUACAUGAGGUGGAGAUGAAUGAGAAAGGACAGUGGCCCAGUCUUCUUUUGACAAAACACUUUAUCCCUUAUGUGGAACGGCAGUUUAUGUCAAGGUAAGCCUCCAGGCCAAUUUCUACCCAGUUCUAUUUUUUGUAUCCACAUGACAGCAGUUCACACAAAGCUUACUUGUGCCAAAUCCUGCUUACUUUAUGCUGAAUGGGUUUAGGGAGACUCACUAGCACCCUUCUUUCAUGAUCCAUUGAAAUCAGAAGGGCAAGAGAUGCAGUCAGUAGCCACAUACGAGGACCCAUUAUAAGAUUUUGAUUCUCUUGAUUCUGUGUUCUAAGAAGCCAGACCCUGUGCAUGAGCUGAAGGCGAUUCCUCCAGCUUUACAGUCUUCCCUACUGAUUGCCAGAGUCUUCCCAAGGCCUCACAUCACUACCCAAGGAAUCAUAAACACUCUUGCAAGGUAGAUGAGCUCUCCAUAUGGUUUGUCGUUUGAGAGAAAUCCUAGGAGAUCAGCAGCUUGGAAGACCAUAACAGCCAUGGAUUUGAUGUCUGUUUCCAUGUUCUUUUCCUUCCUUUUAUUGUCUGCAUGGAUCAUAUAUUCUCUUGGACACCAGCUUGAAUCCUAAAAGCCUUCCAGAAUAAUGUAUUUCCUCUUGUUCUUUAGGGAAGCUUAGCUUCAAGGCUUUUAUAGUUAUUUUAUCCUGAAUUUGCUGAGGUUUCACAGGUUUUAAUUUUACCACAGGCAUAAAAAAAUAACUGGAGAGAUUUUUGAACAAAGACUCUCAUCACCUGCUUGACUAUGGAUACAUUAGCAUAGCAGAGUUGAACAAAAUCGAAAUCCUUCACUUCCAGUUUGGAGAUAAGAGCAGGCUUGGAUCCUGGCUUAUUUUGCUUAAGGCUUAAUCAUUUGGCUCCCAGGGGCCCAAACGACAGGGCAGGUUGUUAGCUGCAUUGCACAUAGAAGGGUAGAAGAGGAAGAAUGAUUUUACUUCUUGACAAAGAAGAAGAAGGAAAGACGUCUGCAGGCAGUUAAAUAAGACAGCACAAGUGAAAAAGCCCUGAAGACGAAGGAAAUGCCAAGUCCCUGGUAAAUAUUUCCUGUUCACUUUUAGAUGAAGGCUACCAGGACUGCCCAAUCUGAUGGAAGAAAUUGCCUUCCUAGACUGCCAGCAUCUCUGGGAACUGUCUUGAACUCCAUAUCAGAGAUAUGUAGAGGAGGAAACACACAAGUUCUCUUUUAAACACAUUAAGUUGGAGGUGUUUGUUGAAUCGGUAGGUGGAGAUGUCUUCUGGGUUGGAUAUACAGGUCUAUAGCUUUGGAAGAACUCUGGGUGGAGAUUAGGAAGUCACCUGAAUUGAAUGAAUUUCACUCAAGCAAAUAACUUUCUUCCAGGUAUUCCCAGUUCCACUUCCCUUCAUCAACUCAAUUUAACACAUGCCGACUGUUAGGCCCUAUUUUCUUUCAGAGAAUCUUAGGCUAGCUGGAAAUACUGUUCUUCUACUUGGCUCAUCCACUCUUGCUUGGACUCCUUCCAUUCCUGCCCAGGUAUUACAGAAUAUAGAAUCCACGUGGAACUAUGAAAUUCUGUUUUCUAAGCCAUGGCUUCCUACCUUAUUAAAUUCAGUGUUUCAGAUUGAUAGUCUCUAGGUUAACCUAUGAUAUGACACUGUUGUAGAAUCCUAGAGGGGUGCUGAUUACCAAUAACAAACAUCCUCUUUUAAGUUUUGGAAACUGAGGCCCAGAAGAGCAUCUAAGUGAUUUUCUCCAUCACUGUGAAAUUCAGAGCCAUCACAUCGGUCUGCCUCCUUACUUAUAAGGUGGUAGGUUAUGAUCUAGGUGGUAGUUCAAUUACUUAAGAGGUCAAGGAUUAAAGUGUAGCCCUUCUCAUGAAACAGCUGUUUAAAGGAUUGAAAGGGAACUCUCCAAUGACCUCAACACAUAGAACCCUUCAUUAAUAUGAAUUAUUGUUGACAUAGACUUAGACUUGUCAUGGGAUAGAAAAAACUCUGGCCAUCAAAUAAAAUGAUGAACUGAUAUGAACCGAUAAAAUAGUAUUCCUCUAAAGGUAAGAGUCAGAUGGACCGAAGCUAUGAAAGGCAUCCUAUAUGCUGGUCCAGUCUUGGCCAAUAUUUCCCAGUGUGAUUAUGGAACAUGAGUCCCUUGGGGUGCUCAGUUAGAGAAAAAAAAAAAAAAAGCUUUGGAAGAGCUAAAUAUUCUCUCUCAUGUCCUUAAAGGUUCACGGUGAAACAGUAUAUUAAAAGCUUUAGUUCUAAAGAAAUCUGCUCAGAGUUUGUACUCAGUUCAACUCCAUUCUCCCAAAUCAUAACUAACCAUAGAACCUAAAAUAAAGCAUACAUUAGCAUCCCGUAGAGCAAGUGUUUUUGUGAAAUAUCUUACCCACUUUGAAAUUUCUGAUAUAAGCACAAUUUUGGGUACUUGUUUGGCUUUUAAUCUUUCAUUUUUGCAAAAAUCCAAUGACACGGACAUUGUUUAUAAUGUUAAAUGUUACAUUGUUUAAAAUGUUAAAUGUUAUAAUCAUUUUGUGAUGAGGAAAUGGGGCUCAAAAAGGUGUGGGAACUUUGUGAGGCUCACAUCAUCAAUAUGCCCUGCUUUUCAUUUUAUGUUGUUUAUAAUUUUUCAUACAUCUAUGAUGUAUCCUUCUUCUGUGUCUUUUUUCGUAAUAAUCUUUAUGCCUGGAAUUUGAGACUCACCAUUCCUGGCUGAUCUGUCUUCCUUACCUUUUAAGAUGUAGGUCAGCAACCAUCUCGGCUGCGUUAAGUGUUCCUUCUCCAUGACCC